UGUUGAUCGGAUCAAAGAGAGAGGGAGAGAGAGUAAGCUCGAGAGAGAGAGAGCCCGAGAGCUCGGUGCUCUCAGACCCGAAGCACGACCCGACCGGCGCCACUCCUUCCGGCCACGGCACAGCGGCGGACCACCAGCAUCGUCUUCGUAUCGCUGUCGCCACAAACCUCCUAUGCUUGGAUCGUACAUGCACUGAACGGAGAAGGAGACUCGACGACUGAAAGCUCCGAGACUUCUCCGAAGAGCUCUGCAAUUUCCGGCCACCGUUUGGGCCACCUGAGAUUUGCAGGUCUAGGCGAGGUUUUGGUUGUUUGACGUCGUUUCAAACCUGGAAGACUCAGAUCUACAAACGCCCCCAACUUCCCAGGUUCGAUAUCGCCGGAUACGCGACAUGCGUCACCGUCCCCUUUACUUUGAAGGCCUUAAGGUGGCUUGAUCAAGAACUUGAGAAUUAUUGCAAAAUCUGGAACUUCAUGUCUCUUUUGCUGUUAUAUUGAAGUUUACAUUUGUUAUCUAUUUCGAAUGCAGUUGUUGGAAAGUUUGCAGGGGUUGAUGUUAAACAAGGAAGGGUAUGCUUCUAUAGGAGGUGGUUCACCCUUGCGUAAGACGACAGAUGAGCAGGUGUUUCUUUGAAGACUCAAGAACUCUAUGCCCUUGUUUUUGUUACUCGCUACUUGGACAUUUUCACCGAUUUCAUAUAUUUAUAUAACACCGUCAUGAAGCUAAUAUUCUAGGGGAGUUAUUUUUCAAUUGUUUGGUACAUUAGGCAGCACAGGAUUGUUCGCAGGUCCUAUGAUAGAGACCAAGACACCUUCCGCCAUCAUUUCCUACUGGCACCAUGUCUAGUUUUGGCCCUAAUAUUCAAUGAGAAGUUCACUUUCAAGGAGGUCAUGUGGUCAUUUUCAUUAUUUUUAGAAGCUGUUGCUAUCCUUCCUCAGCUUGUGCUGUUACAGAGAACGAGAAAUAUUGACAACUUGACAGGGCAAUACGUCUUCCUCCUUGGGUAUUCCAAACACCCUGAUAUUUUCUUUACAAAUACAAUUCUAUAUCAUAUUUUUGGUUCCUUCAUUAGACCUAUAUAAAUAGCUAAUGCUGGACAAUUAAGUUUCAGUUUUAUCUCGUGUUUAUAUGUACUUAUUGCCAGCCUGCACUACUAUAUUAGAGUAUUAGCUACUUAUGUAUCCAGUUGAAUAUUAGAGUAUUAGCUACUAUUCAUUAGUUGUCGAUUGUUUGGUUUGGGGCUAGUAUAUUAUUCUCAGUAUCUUGUUUUGCUAUCAAUGUGGAGUUUUAUAAUCCUCGUGUACAAGAACUCAUUAUUUUCCUUGGACAAUUUUUGUUAUGUGCUGUUAAGAUGUUAAAUUUUGGAUACUGAUUGAAUUGAAUAAAUUUGCUAGGUUGGCUGCUUUAUAUCUCUGUUUCAUUCUUGUGUUUGUUGCAAGUAUUUUAUUCAGAAUUAUAUAAAAGUUGCUGGAGGAGAGGUAGCAGAUGCAGCUAUGGGGAGGAACAUGAAGGGAUUUAUGUUUUUUUAUGUUGUAUUUUAUUUGAAGUUGUAUAUGAAUUGUACAGUAUAUUUUAGAAUUAUACAAUACAUUUUGGCCUUAUUUUUUUUUUAUAUAUUCCCCAAAUUUUGCCACUGAUGUUGGUGGCAUUGAGAAAACACACUGAUACAAUAACAGUGGGAGAGAAAAAGGUUAUAUGCAGCAUUGGGAUUUGGUAUGCCACUGUUGUUUUAACAGUGUGGAUUGCCCCAAUAGCACCUGCAAUAGAGGGCACUGAUAUCUCAUUAGUGGCUGCAUGGUGGCUAAUGACAUUAGCCACUAUUAUCAGUGUGCUUUGUCCCAAUAGGGACUAAUUCAUAUCAGUGUGCUUUGGGGAAAUUUCUAG